rnacentral:rRNA from 1 species
CACUGACAUUAGAUACCCCUGUAGUCCAGGGUGUAAACGCUGCAGACUUGGUGUUGGAGGCCCUUUGGGGGCAUUCAGUGCCGGAGAGAAGUUGUUAAGUCUGCUACUUGGGGAGUACGUCCGCAAGGAUGAAACUUAAAGGAAUUGGCGGGGGAGCACCGCAACGGGAGGAGCGUGCGGUUUAAUUGGAUUCAACACCGUAAAACUCACCAGGGAAGACUGUUACAUGAAGGCCGAGAUGAAGACUCUGCUAGAUUUUCAG